rnacentral:rRNA from 1 species
UACGAAGGGGGCUAGCGUUGCUCGGAAUGACUGGGCGUAAAGCGUGCGCAGGCGGUUCUAUAAGACAGAUGUGAAAUCCCCGGGCUCAACCUGGGAACUGCAUUUGUGACUGUAGAGCUGGAGUACGGCAGAGGGGAUGGAAUUCCGCGUGUAGCAGUGAAAUGCGUAGAUAUGCGGAGGAACACCGAUGGCGAAGGCAAUCCCCUGGGCCUGUACUGACGCUCAUGCACGAAAGCGUGGGGAGCAAACAGG